AUUGAACGCUGGCGGAAUGCUUUACACAUGCAAGUCGAACGGCAGCACGGACUUCGGUCUGGUGGCGAGUGGCGAACGGGUGAGUAAUACAUCGGAACGUGCCCAGUCGUGGGGGAUAACGUAGCGAAAGCUACGCUAAUACCGCAUACGAUCUAAGGAUGAAAGCGGGGGAUCGCAAGACCUCGCGCGAUUGGAGCGGCCGAUGGCAGAUUAGGUAGGUGGUAGGGUAAAGGCCUACCAAGCCGACGAUCUGUAGCUGGUCUGAGAGGAUGAUCAGCCACACUGGGACUGAGACACGACCCAGACUCCUACGGGAGGCAGUAGUGGGGAAUUUUGGACAAUGGGCGCAAGCCUGAUCCAGCCAUUCCGCGUGCAGGAUGAAGGCCUUCGGGUUGUAAACUGCUUUUGUACAGAACGAAAAGGCUCUGGUUAAUACCCGGGGCUCAUGACGGUACUGUAAGAAUAAGCACCGGCUAACUACGUGCCAGCCGCCGCCGUAA
rnacentral:rRNA from 1 species